UUUGUAAAAAAGUCAAAAAUGAUAUUUUUUACCUUAAGGCAUUUUGAAAAACGGCUGCAGCAUGGAUGAUACAACGAAUAUGUUGAAAUGAGAUAAUUGGACGCAAAAUUUAAAAGUUCUUAACAAAAGCCACUUAACCAAAAGAAUUAGUUGCAGCUCAGUGCAUGAAAAUUUUAAGUAUUGGUGUUGGCAAAGAAACAAUAUAUAAACGAAGAAACAUUAUAUAAGUUAUUUUUUAAUAAAACAAACUGUUGAAUAGACAGGUUUGGCUUUUUAUCCCUAUAUAAACAAUUUAUAUAAAAAAAUAUGUUAUUUGUUUAUAUAUAUUGUUUAUAAAAUGUAAAAAAUCUACUUAUAAAACGUUUUAUUCAGGAUCGUAUGGAACAUUAGUAAACUUUUCUAAUAAUUACAAGUCUUUUUUGCUCAAGCAGUUUUGUUUUGAUGUUUAAGUAGGUUAAGUGAUUAGUAGAUUUGUUAAAAUUAUGUCAUCUUCUUAUAUCCGCCAAACCCAGUAAUAAAAACAGCUUAACUUUAAGAUUCAAAAAUCAACGAAUUUUUGUAUUACGAUAUGUGCGCCAACUAAAAUAAUGUCUUUGCAGUUUAUCUAAUUAAAUCCACCAAAUCCGGUAAUAAAAACAGCUUUAUAAAAAGAUUUUAAAAUUAUCUGAUUCUUGGAUUAUGGUAUGAGCGCCAACUGUACUCUAAAACGACUGAAAAUAUGCAUGUUCUAUUACAUAUACCGUUUAUCAAGCAAUAAAAUUGAGUAAUCAAAAUAGAGAAGGUUUGAAUAUUAUUUUUAUCUGUUUAAUAAUACUAAAGUUAAUAGUAGUAGUGCUCUUUCAGGCCUGUUUGAUACAGACCUCUAGGCAGCCUUUGCAAUUGAGGUAAUGGGGAAAGAGAGUUGCAACAGUUUUGUUUUAUAAGAAAAUGUGAACGAAAGUGUAUCUUUAAACGAAGGUGUAUCUCUGAACGAAAUUGUAUGUUUCGUGUAUUUUUAUUAUGUAUGUAAUAUCAAGUUAUGUAAUAAUAUGUAGUAUCAUGUUAUACAGUUUUACUUGCAUUGCGAUAGCAUCUUUUUAAUUUUGAUCUGUAGCAUUUAUUUUUGUUUUAUACAGUCUUUUGCAUUUUAAAUAAUUGAAAACUUAAGUUAAGUAAGCUGCAAUAUGGCCGAGCGUUUAGCGUGCCGACACACAGUGACCCAGAUUAACCUAAAAAUGGCAAAAAGUCCGGGAAAAAAAGUGAAAGUUUUAUCGUUUUUAAACUUAAAAUGUUAAAGUAAACUACUUUUUGGUCUGAAAUCAAUUUUAUAGAUAUUAUUAUUGUGUAAUUUUAAAUGGAUAUAUGUGUAAAAAGUUAAAUUUAUCACCAUAAAAUUAAGAAAAUUUAAGGUAUGGUUAUCAUGUAAGCAACUUUGUUUUCCACCUCCAUGCAAAACUAUAUUAUUAUUUUUGUUAAAGUAAUG